GGCUGCGUGGCAGAACGGUCAUGCAGAGGACUGCAAAUCCUCGUACGUCGGUUCGACUCCGGCCGCAGCCUCCA
rnacentral:tRNA from 1 species